rnacentral:rRNA from 1 species
CAGCCGCCGCGGGAAUACAGAGGGUGCGAGCGUUAAUCGGAUUUACUGGGCGUAAAGCGUGCGUAGGCGGCUUUUUAAGUCGGAUGUGAAAUCCCUGAGCUUAACUUAGGAAUUGCAUUCGAUACUGGGAAGCUAGAGUAUGGGAAAGGAUGGUAGAAUUCCAGGUGUAGCGGUGAAAUGCGUAGAGAUCUGGAGGAAUACCGAUGGCGAAGGCAGCCAUCUGGCCUAAUACUGACGCUGAGGUACGAAAGCAUGGGGAGCAAACAGGAUUAGAUACCCCGGUAGUCCCUGUCUCUUAUAC